rnacentral:rRNA from 1 species
GGGGGAUAUUGCGCAAUGGGGGCAACCCUGACGCAGCAACGCCGCGUGAAGGAUGAAGGUUUUCGGAUUGUAAACUUCUUUUAUUAAGGACGAAACUUGACGGUACUUAAUGAAUAAGCUCCGGCUAACUACGUGCCAGCAGCCGCGGUAAAACGUAGGGUGCAAGCGUUGUCCGGAAUUACUGGGUGUAAAGGGAGCGCAGGCGGGAAGACAAGUUGGAAGUGAAAACCAUGGGCUCAACCCAUGAAUUGCUUUCAAAACUGUUUUUCUUGAGUAGUGCAGAGGUAGAUGGAAUUCCCGGUGUAGCGGUGGAAUGCGUAGAUAUCGGGAGGAACACCAGUGGCGAAGGCGGUCUACUGGGCACCAACUGACGCUGAGGCUCGAAAGCAUGGGUAGCAAACAGGAUUAGAUACCCUGGUAGUCCAUGCCGUAAACGAUGAUUACUAGGUGUUGGGGGAUUGACCCCCUCAGUGCCGCAGUUAACACAAUAAGUAAUCCACCUGGGGAGUACGACCGCAAGGUUGAAACUCAAAGGAAUUGACGGGGGCCCGCACAAGCAGUGGAGUAUGUGGUUUAAUUCGAAGCAACGCGAAGAACCUUACCAGGUCUUGACAUCCGAUGCAUAGCACAGAGAUGUGUGAAAUCCUUCGGGACAUCGAGACAGGUGGUGCAUGGUUGUCGUCAGCUCGUGUCGUGAGAUGUUGGGUUAAGUCCCGCAACGAGCGCAACCCUUAUUGCCAGUUACUACGUUAAGAGGACUCUGGCGAGACUGCCGUUGACAAAACGGAGGAAGGUGGGGAUGACGUCAAAUCAUCAUGCCCUUUAUGACCUGGGCUACACACGUACUACAAUGGCGUUAAACAAAGAGAAGCAAGACCGCGAGGUGGAGCAAAACUCAAAAACAACGUCUCAGUUCAGAUUGCAGGCUGCAACUCGCCUGCAUGAAGUCGGAAUUGCUAGUAAUCGCGGAUCAGCAUGCCGCGGUGAAUACGUUCCCG